rfam:Schistosoma haematobium scaffold376_19, whole genome shotgun sequence.
AUCCAGCUGACGAGUCUCAAAUAGGACGAAACACGCGUCCUGGAU